GACGAACGCUGGCGGCGUGGAUUAGGCAUGCAAGUCGAGCGAUAUCUAACCUUCGGGUUAGUGAAAGCGGCGAACGGGUGAGUAACACGUGAACAACCUGCCCUCACAUUCUGGAUAAUAAGCCGAAAGGCCUUGUAAUACAGGCGAGGAUUCUCCUUAGGCAUCUUUGGAGAAGGGAAGGCGCAAGCCGUGCGAGGAGGGGUUCGCGGAUUAUCAGGUAGAUGGUGGGGUAACGGCCUACCAUGCCGACGACGAUUAGCUGGUCUGAGAGGAUGAUCAGCCACACUGGGACUGAGACACUGCCCAGACUCCUACGGGAGGCUGCAGUCGAGAAUCUUGCACAAUGCACGAAAGUGUGAUGCAGCGACGCCGCGUGAAGGAUGAAGGCCCUUGGGUCGUAAACUUCUUUUAUGCGGGAAGAAAAAUGACGUUACCGCAUGAAUAAGCCACGGCUAACUACGUGCCAGCAGCCGCGGUAAAGCUACGU
rnacentral:rRNA from 1 species